rnacentral:rRNA from 1 species
AUACGUAGGGGGCGAGCGUUGUCCGGAAUGAUUGGGCGUAAAGGGCGCGUAGGCGGCGCGGUAAGUCUGGAGUGAAAGUCCUGCUUUCAAGGUGGGAAUUGCUUUGGAUACUGCCGCGCUAGAGUGCAGGAGAGGUUAUCGGAAUUCCCGGUGUAGCGGUGAAAUGCGUAGAGAUCGGGAGGAACACCAGUGGCGAAGGCGGGUAACUGGACUGCAACUGACGCUGAGGCGCGAAAGUGUGGGGAGCAAACAGGAUUAGAUACCCUGGUAGUCCACACUGUAAACGAUGAAUGCUAGGUGUAAGAGGUAUCGACCCCUUUUGUGCCGGAGUCAACACAAUAAGCAUUCCGCCUGGGGAGUACGGCCGCAAGGUUGAAACUCAAAUGAAUUGACGGGG